UACGUAGGGGGCUAGCGUUGUCCGGAUUUAUUGGGCGUAAAGAGCGUGUAGGCGGCCAGGUAGGUCUGCUGUGAAAACUCGAGGCUUAACCUCGAGAUGUCGGCGGAAACCAUCUGGCUAGAGUCCGGAAGAGGAGAGUGGAAUUCCUGGUGUAGCGGUGAAAUGCGCAGAUAUCAGGAAGAACACCCGUGGCGAAGGCGGCUCUCUGGGACGGUACUGACGCUGAAGACGCGAAACGUGGGGAGCGGAAC
rnacentral:rRNA from 1 species